UGUGGAGGUUUAAGAAGGUGAGACCAGUCCAGACCAUGUGGUCCUCACUGAUACCCACCUCCUACAGAGAACAGGCUGAGAGAACAACUCCUGUCAGCAGAAGGACAUGGGUUACAUCUCAGCCAACAUGU
ensembl:scaRNA